CUGGCCCGGCCCAUUGUCACUGGAAUUCAUGCCAUGCAGACUUCUACAUCAAAGGGAAACAAGGUCAGGAGGGCCGAGGGGUCCACGGCACUCCGCACCCACGGGGCCAGGCUGGCACAACGCCCCAACGCUGCAAUCCUGGGAAGAGUCACACGCGCCCUCCCGGGACCCACGUGACCAUCAAGGGAGUGUGGAGGACACAUCCCUCGGGGGUGACGCCCCUGCAGAUGGAGUUUCCCCAUCUGUGCCACCCUUGCAAGGCCUGGGAAAGGCUGCGGGGCCAGGCGGCACCGGGCAAGCUGAGUGCCAGGUGGUGGUUGCAACACACCGGGCAAAUCUGAAACCAUGGGACGGACGAGCUGCACCCCUGGGAAAGAGAACAGAGGAAGGCCGGUUAUCAACGUCCUCCUGUGCCUCAGUUUCCAGAAACAAGCCAGACUCAGUGCCUCAGGGAGACCCCGUGUGGCCUCCGGAGAGCACGGGACCCGCCCUUUGUGCAGGCAGGCGAGUGGAACCACAGGUGCUUCCCGUCCUGGUCACAAAGUCAGAGUGGCUGGGCCAAGUGUCCUGAGAAGAGUCACCUCCUGGGAUCCCAUCAGCCUGGCCAUAGCAGAACACCCAGACAGGGGCCCAUCCCCGAGGCUCAACUCAACGCAUGCAGCCACUGUAGAAAAGUCUGGAAAGUAGUUCUUCAACCGACUAGACAUGGUGAGCCCAAAACCCAGCCAUGACACUCCUAGGCAUCUGCCCCAGAGGAAUGAAAGCAUCCAUCCCCUGCAAACUCAUCCUUACACAGCAGCGUGACUCAAGACGGCCAAAGGCGGAAACACCCCAAACGUCCAUCAGUGGACAAACGGGCAGAUGCAAUGCACUGUCUGUACCGUGGGAUGUCACUCAGCCAUAUGAAGGAAAGACUCCAGUGUGGAUGAGCCCUGGAACCACGGUGCUGCGUGAUCCCGUAACACAUGGCCAGAACAGACACGGCCCGGAACCUGAGGCCGGGAGGAUGCGUGCAGGUGGCGGGGAGACAGAGGGGCGAUGGCCCAGUUUCUUUUGGGCUGAAAAUGGUCUAAAGUUGACUGUGGUGAUGGCUGUACAACUUUGAAUAUGCUGAAAACUCGAAUUACACACUUCAGUUGGGCGAACUGUACUCCAUGUGAAUUACCUCUCGAUGGUUCUCUCCUGGGCUCAGGCGCUUCUCCCACCUUGGCCUCCUGAGUAGCUGGAACUACCAUUCAUGUGCGGAAAUAAAACAACUCGGUCUCAAAAAAAACUCAACUCAAAACUCAGUCUCAAAAAUAAAAAAAUAAAAAAGUAAAAGAGGCUACCAAUAGGAGAGGAAUUCAGUCAUUCAUGUCAUAAGCACAAUGCGGUUAUUUAAAACAAUUCUGAAUAUGGGGAAACGUGCACCCAGCAGGGCCUGGAAACAGCCAGAGCGUGACAGUGCCGGCGCAGCCAUGAAAAACCCCUCCCUGUGAACACACAUGUGAAAGAAGAUGCAAAGUCACUGUGGCUUCCAGUUUCACAACUGCAAUUCGGCAUCUCUAAUUUGCUUUUUUCCAGAAACUUCUGUUAGCAUGGUUGUUUCCUUAGCUUUUGACCAAAGAAACUUCAAAA
rnacentral:lncRNA from 1 species